rnacentral:lncRNA from 1 species
GCCCAGCAGCCGCCGUGGCUUUCAGUCCUCCGCUCCCUGACCCCGGGCACCGGCCACUCCGGUCCACCGCAACCCUGCCCGCGCUCGGUCGGACGUAGAGUUCCCGCCGCGGCCGCGGGGCUCCUCACCGAUCGUGUCCACGCGGUGCGUGAGAAGCAGGGUCCGCGAGCCACAGCGAGCGGCGGCGGCGGCCGCCUCGGUCCCCGCGUGCCCUCCUCCGAUAACUACCACGUCGAAGUGCGGGGUGCAGGGCGCCGCGCUGUCGCUGCGGAGGCGACGCAAAGGCAGCCGUCUGCCGAGGGACGCUGCGGCCCAAUGGCCACGGCCUCGGAGAAGGAACAUGUUGAGGGAAGCUAGCUAGAGACGCCCGGAACUGUCACCGGAGUAGAAGCCAGCUGGGCGUCGCCAUCUUGGCCGAGUCAGCGCGUAGCGCGCCUGCGUCCAGCGACGCUUUUGAUUGGCGGGUUGGAGCUUCGCCGCGGGGAGGUGCGCGCAGGCCCUGUGCGUUCUCCCCCCCCCUUCCUCCCCCCGCAGGUACUUUCAGCGCUGGCGGGAGAUUCUAUCUUGGAGGUUGAGGUUAGGCUUUUCCCGUGGACUUGUCUUUAUCGCCAGGUUGCCACCUAUGAACAAUAAAUUUGAUCAUUUCGCCUCAAAAUCUUCUGAGAGGUUAGUCGACUAAGGCAAUCCGAGUUCUAAUCCUCAUCUUGAAGGCCAUCUGGGUCUACAAAUGAAUAUCACGUCUCCAAAUCAAAACUCCAUUAUUUAUAUACAGCUUAAACAUUUUUUUGACAUUUAUUUUAUGUGUAUGAUUGUUUUGCCUGUGCAUGUGGUGUAUGGGUGUGUGGGUGUGCGCGCGCGCCUCGAUCUAGCCUAUUCCCACAAAAGUCAGAAGAGUGCAUCAGAUUUUCUGGAGCAAUAAAAGGUUAUGAGCCACUAUGUGGGUGCUGAGAAUCAAACACGGCAGGUUCUCUGCAAAGAGCAAGAGAUCUUGUUCACUGAGCCAUUUCUCUGGUUCCUAUUUAAACAUAAUAUACACACAAGACAUGGAGAAUUAAAAAAUGUGUAACUCCUACAAAGUGCUCUGUCCCUACUUUAAAGGAAUGCCAGUCUUUUGUUGCUAGUAGCUAUUUUUAUAUGCAUAUACAAGUUUUCCUCUGAGUUGAAAUAUUCCUUCCUAGAGGAGGGAGUCUCAUAAAAGUCCAGAAGUGAACAAAGUUUACAGGUUCAGUCCCAGGAAGAUUUAUAAAUUGCCAGGCCCACCCCUACUUCAGGCUAUACAAGCAGGGACCAUUGCUAGGGGGUAGACUCCAGGACCAUCAGAUGUGCAAGUCCUUCGGGGGCUCAGGGAUACAACUUUUGUGAGUUGUCAUCCAUACUGCCCUGGACUUUUGUAAUGCAGUCUUUGAGUCAUCCACACUCCUGUAAAUACCUCCAAAAAACUUAUAGUUUCACUAAAUUAUAUUUGAGUGGAAUAAUUUUCUUUGGCUUGUUCUUGGUGCCCUCAGGUAAAUAUACAUUUAUUCACAUUUUCACAGGAGGGGGAAAACUCACACGGCACAGGAACGCUAGUAUUUUGUAUAUAAAUUCUGUGAUUAUACUAUCUUUCACUUUAUUCCCCUCCAUUUAACUAUAUAUAUUUAAAUUUUUAAUUGCAUGUAUUCAUUUGCAUGUGAGUAUGUGUAUGGGCUUACUCAUACUACAGUGCACAUAUGGAGAUCUACUUGAGAGAGUCAGUUCUCCUCAUCCUGUGGGUUCUGGGAAUUGAACCCACAUCAUCAGAUUUGACAGCAGAUAUUUUUACCUGCCAAUCAUCUGUCCAGUCCCCUUAACAAUAUAUUUGCUUAGCUGGGCACGAUGGUGCACAACUCAGGCAGAGCUCUGAGUCUGAGGUCAGCAUGAACUACACGGUGAGUUCCUGGAUAGUCAGGGUUAUGUAGAGAGAUCUUGUCUCUGAGAGAAAGUGAAAAUAAGCAAAAGAGAAAAAAUG